rnacentral:rRNA from 1 species
AUUGUAGUCUGCAACUCGACUACAUGAAGCUGGAAUCGCUAGUAAUCGCGAAUCAGAAUGUCGCGGUGAAUACGUUCCCGGGUCUUGUACACACCGCCCGUCACACCAUGGGAGUCAGUAACGCCCGAAGUCAGUGACCCAACCGUAAGGAGGGAGCUGCCGAAGGUGGGACCGAUAACUGGGGUGAAGUCGUAACAAGGUAAC